GCAUAGCCAUUCUCACUUCUCCAUGUCACAACAUUAUAAGCUUCACAUAGAGAAUCAGAUUCAAGAGCCCGUCGAUCUUUUGAAUAGCUGGAAGCGGUAGAAUGCUUUUUGUUUAUUGUUUUGUAUUUUCGUUGCUUGAAGCAGAGAAUCCCAAGCAAACGGACAACAAGCCAAAACCUAAGAAACGACAGUGCCAAGGAGGUGAAUGGUUCCAUUACUCGUGCGUUGGGCUGACACCAGAGACAAGAUUCAAGGGGAAGUGGUAUUGUCCAACCUGCAGGCAACUUCCACAGUGACAAAAAUGGCAUGCAUACACUUACAGUACAUGUGAUGGUGGAGGCAUGGAGGGAUGAUCGUUUGUUUUGCCUUGAUUAGGUCAUUCUAGAGUUUAAGAUUAUGCAUCCGUCUCUUUCUUCCCAAAAUAAAGAGAAGAAAGAACCCUUGAGCGGAAGAACAGUCGAAUUUUGUAAAAUGCUUGGAGCUACUCCUCCUCCUUCCGUGGAUGUGAAUUUAGCAAGGACAGUUUAUAGUUGGCAGUGUAAUGGAAUGGAAGAAACACCAAUGAGUCCUGGAAGAACUUUGGCUGUCUUCUUAUCCACCGUUACUUCAUUCAUGUUUUUUUAUCAAAUUGGACUUUGCGUUCGAUCAUCAUGUGUCUUCUGUUUUCUUCGGCUCAAGAAUGAUGGUCUUGUGUAUUC